rnacentral:rRNA from 1 species
GAUGAACGCUAGCGGCAGGCUUAAUACAUGCAAGUCGAGGGGCAGCAUGAACUAGCAAUAGUUUGAUGGCGACCGGCAAACGGGUGCGGAACACGUACACAACCUUCCUUUAAGUGGGGAAUAGCCCAGAGAAAUUUGGAUUAAUACCCCGUAACACAACGAAGUGGCAUCACUUUGUUGUUAUAGUUUCGGCGCUUAAUGAUGGGUGUGCGUAUGAUUAGAUAGUUGGCGAGGUAACGGCUCACCAAGU